rnacentral:tRNA from 1 species
GCCUGGCUGGCUCAGUUGGUAGAGCAUGCGACCCUGAUCUCAGGGUCAUGAGUUCGAGCCCCAUGUUGGGCA